AACGAACGCUGGCGGCAUGCCUAACACAUGCAAGUCGAACGAGACCUUCGGGUCUAGUGGCGCACGGGUGCGUAACGCGUGGGAAUCUGCCCUUGGGUUCGGAAUAACAGUGAGAAAUUACUGCUAAUACCGGAUGAUGUCUUCGGACCAAAGAUUUAUCGCCCAGGGAUGAGCCCGCGUAGGAUUAGCUAGUUGGUGGGGUAAUGGCCUACCAAGGCGACGAUCCUUAGCUGGUCUGAGAGGAUGAUCAGCCACACUGGGACUGAGACACGGCCCAGACUCCUACGGGAGGCAGCAGUGGGGAAUAUUGGACAAUGGGCGCAAGCCUGAUCCAGCAAUGCCGCGUGAGUGAUGAAGGCCUUAGGGUUGUAAAGCUCUUUUACCCGGGAUGAUAAUGACAGUACCGGGAGAAUAAGCGCCGGCUAACUCCGUG
rnacentral:rRNA from 1 species